AAUGUUAUCAGCAAUUCUUUACCACAACUUAUUGAACGCCUCUUUGCAUCAGCCACAAAAUUAUUCUUCAUGAAAUUACCAUAUUUUACUUUUAAAAUUGUGAAGAUAUACUCAGCUUUAUAAAUGAACUCCAACUCCUCAAUACGUGUUACGAAAAACUAUAUACUUUUCUUCGAAAAUUUGGUAGUGCUAUCAAAAAAGUAAAUGAAAGAUGCAAAUUUAUCAUGAGUCACUCUGUACAUUUCGUAUGUUUACUACCAACUUAAUGUCACAUGCAGAUGUCUGAGUAUCACACUGUAAAAGAAUCGCGAGUGGGAGUAGUUGGGUAAUAUCUGGUUUCCAGUGAAUUAGUCUGAGUUUAUUAGUGAAGCAGUCAUGAUGGAACUUAAGAUGAUCUUAAGAAAAAGAGUUUGUAAUUUUGUAAUUUUUGUUUAUCUCCUACAAAUGUUACACUUAAAUACAUCUACUAUAUUGGGAAGUUGUCCAAUGUUAAGUAGCGGCAGUUCUAUGACACAAACUGAACUUUUGCAAGAAUUAACGAACGAUUGCCGUUAUGAUAAAAUGAGUAGGCCUUUUGGAGAACCUAAUGCUACAGAUCCAAUUAAAGUAUACACCAGAGCAUAUAUUUACACAAUUAAAUCGAAUAUGGCCAAAACACUGCAAUUUGAUGUACACAUGAUGUUGCAAUUUAGAUAUUUGGAUACCAGAUUGAAAUUCUCAGAGAUUGCUCCAUAUUUAAGCCAAAUAUAUGGUGGGCAGCUUGCACAUGAUUUAAUCUGGACACCUUCUGUUUAUGUUUCCAAUGAACGUAGUUCAGCCAUAAUGGGAAAUGGUGUUAAAGAUUUACUUGUUUCCAUAGAUCCAUCAGGCAUGGUUGUAUUGAACACUAGGUUACAAGCUACUCUUAACUGUGGCCUUCGCUUGGAAAAGUUUCCAUUUGAUGUACAGGAAUGUCCACUUAUUUUUGAAAGCUGGACACACAAUGUGCAUGACAUGGUGCUGUAUUGGGAUGAAGAACCAAUCAUACUUGCAGAUGAAUUGCAUUUAACUGAAUACAAACUUAUUGACAAGUGGGUUAAUACAUCAGAAGUGUUUUAUGCCACAUCUCAACAACAUUAUGGUCAUUUUGCUGGCAACUUUAGCACAAUUAGUAUAACAUUUAAACUUUCACGUGAAAUGGGAUUUUUCAUGAUGGACUAUUAUAUACCAUCUAUAUUAAUAGUAGUUAUUUCUUGGGUAUCUUUUUGGUUGCAUAUGGAUGCAAGUCCCCCACGAAUAGUUUUAGGAACAAACACUAUUUUAACAUUCAUGACUCUUGCAUCAAAAGUAGAAAAUUCUUUACCGAAAGUUUCGUAUAUAAAAGCUAGCGAAAUAUGGUUUUUAGGUUGCACCAUAUUUUUAUUUGCAGCAAUGGUUGAAUUUGCUUUCGUUAAUACAAUUUACCGGCGGAAGAAAAAUGUACCAUUAAAAAAAGUAAAUAGUAAAUACAUACUAAAAUCGACACUAACGCCAAAAUUGGCACGGAAACAAUUUCAAAAAAAUACCACAGGUCUGGAACGAUCGCGUUCUUGGUCAUCACUCGAUAAUGCAAAUACUAUUGGACAAGAUUAUUCAAGUCAAAAUUAUCUCACUGUUCACAGCUUUCCAAGUACUCUUAACAUUCCCUCUGUGAAAAUUGAUGAAGACAGAGAUCAAGAAUGCUCCGUAGAAAGCAUUACUUCCGUUAAUAGUACUCCACCGGCAAAACCUUUUUCACGAAGAGCAACUCUUGCACAAUUGCAUAAUUUUACAACAAUGACACCACAAGAAAUUGCUCAAUGGAUUGAUAGACGUAGCAGAAUAGUCUUUCCUGUUGCUUUUAUCAUAUUUAACAUUCUUUAUUGGUCUUUUAUCUGGAUAUAAAAAUCUGGUAAUAAAAUUAAAUAUACCUGACCGGUUAAAUCAUAUAUUUUUUUAAUAGUUGACGUGGAAGUUAUUCAAAAAUUUAAAAAAAGAAAUGUGAAUUGUAUAAUUUACAUUCAUUUCGUAAAUUCAAAUAUUGAAUUUAAAGUGUUUAUUUCUUCAUUGCGCUUUUUAUAUUAUUUAGUCAUUGUUUAGUUAUGUAAUAUAACAAAAGUUGUUUUAUACAACACAAAGGUAGAUUUCGUAGAGAUUUAGUGAUGGAAAAUCUACUACAAAAAGAUUUUGAAUCCGAGGCACGAUGUACGGUAAAGUGAAACUAUUUGUUUUUGUAUUUGGGAAGCAGAAGAUAUGUGUCUACAGAUUGGAGCAAGGGGGUAGAGAUAGAAAGAAUAAAGACAAUGUUGGUGGUCUUAAA